rnacentral:rRNA from 1 species
GGACGAACGCUGGCGGCGUGCUUAACACAUGCAAGUCGAGCGGUAAGGCCCUUUCGGGGGUACACGAGCGGCGAACGGGUGAGUAACACGUGGGUGACCUGCCCUCAGCUCUGGGAUAAGCCCGGGAAACUGGGUCUAAUACUGGAUAUGACUCCACGGUGCAUGCCGUGGGGUGGAAAGCCUUGUGCGGCUGAGGAUGGGCCCGCGGCCUAUCAGCUUGUUGGUGGGGUNAUGGCCUACCAAGGCGACGACGGGUAGCCGGCCUGAGAGGGCGACCGGCCACACUGGGACUGAGACACGGCCCAGACUCCUACGGGAGGCAGCAGUGGGGAAUCUUGCGCAAUGGGCGAAAGCCUGACGCAGCGACGCCGCGU